AGCUUUGCACAGUGGCAGUAUCAUAGCCAAUGAGGUUUAUCUGAGGCACGAUUAUUGCUGAUUAAAAACUUUUCCCAGAAAGUACACUUUACAAGGACAUUUUUAUACACAUAUAAGUAAAAAUAAUUUUGAAAUU